GAGAAACUUGAAGAAAGUAUCCAGUGAAAAUAUGAGCUCCUUUCUUAAAAGAAGCAGUGCUCUGAUGAGGCCCAUCAAGAUCACUGCAGUCCGUGAAUGAUCUGAGCCACCUGACAAUCUAGAUGAAUGCGGACCUAUCAUACGUCUUGCCCACUGAGGCCCUGCUGGCCCAGGGGACUUGCUUUGGCCAAUGAAGUAUGCGCAGCAACGGCGUAUGUUACCUAGCAGAGCAGAAGGAGCUUCCAGAGCCACUGGGAGAUUCUGCCAUGGCUCUUUUCACUCUUCUAUUCUGGGGCCUGGAACGAAGCCCACAAAGGGCAUUAAUGUGAGAAAUAAACUUUUGUU